rnacentral:tRNA from 1 species
GCGGGCAUGGUUUAAUGGUAAAACCUUAGCCUUCCAAGCUAAUGAUGUCGGUUCGAUUCCGUCUGCCCGCACCA